rnacentral:rRNA from 1 species
CAGGGAUUGCCCUAGUAACGGCGAGUGAAGCGGCAACAGCUCAAAUUUGAAAUCUGGCCCUUGGGUCCGAAUUGUAAUUUGUAGAGGAUGUUUUUGGUGCGGUAUCUUCCGAGUUCCUUGGAACAGGACGCCUUAGAGGGUGAGAGCCCCGUACGGUUGAAUGCCUAGCCUUUGUAAAACUCCUUCGACGAGUCGAGUAGUUUGGGAAUGCUGCUCUAAAUGGGAGGUAAAUUUCUUCUAAAGCUAAAUACCGGCCAGAGACCGAUAGCGCACAAGUAGAGUGAUCGAAAGAUGAAAAGCACUUUGAAAAGAGGGUUAAAUAGCACGUGAAAUUGUUGAAAGGGAAGGAUUUAUGACCAGACUUUUUCUAGGCGAAUCAUCCGGUGUUCUCACCGGUGCACUUCGUUUAGUUUAGGCCAGCAUCGAUUUUCGGGGCGGGAUAAAAGCUUCAGGAAUGUAGCUCCCUCGGGAGUGUUAUAGCCUGUUGUAUAAUACCGCCCUGGGGAUCGAGGUACGCGCUUCUGCAAGGAUGCUGGCGUAAUGGUUAUCAAUCACCCGUCUUGAAACACGGACCAAGGAGUCGAACAUUUGUGCGAGUGUUUGGGUGUUAAACCCUCACGCGUAAUGAAAGUGAACGGAGGUGAGAGCCCUUUACGGGGUGCAUCAUCGACCGAUCCUGAUGUCUUCGGAUGGAUUUGAGUAAGAGCAUAAAUGUUCGGACCCGAAAGAUGGUGAACUAUGCGUGGAUAGGGUGAAGCCAGAGGAAACUCUGGUGGAGGCUCGCAGCGGUUCUGACGUGCAAAUCGAUCGUCAAAUCUGCGCAUGGGG